rnacentral:rRNA from 1 species
UAAAACCAGCACCUCAAGUGGUCAGGAGGAUUAUUGGGCCUAAAGCAUCCGUAGCCGGCUCUGCAAGUUUUCGGUUAAAUCCACUUGCUCAACAAAUGGGCUGCCGAAAAUACUACAUAGCUAGGGAGUGGGAGAGGUAGACGGUAUUCGGUAGGAAGGGGUAAAAUCCUUUGAUCUAUUGAGGACCACCUAUGGCGAAGGCAG